rnacentral:rRNA from 1 species
CGAAAGCCUGACGGAGCAAUACCGCGUGAGGGAGGAAGGCUCUUGGGUUGUAAACCUCUUUUCUCAAGGAAGAAGACCUGACGGUACUUGAGGAAUAAGCCACGGCUAAUUCCGUGCCAGCAGCCGCGGUAAUACGGGAGUGGCAAGCGUUAUCCGGAAUUAUUGGGCGUAAAGGGUCCGCAGGUGGCAUUGUAAGUCUGCUGUUAAAGAGUCACGCUCAACGUGAUCAAGGCGGUGGAAACUACAAAGCUAGAGUGUGGUCGGGGCAGAAGGAAUUCCUGGUGUAGCGGUGAAAUGCGUAGAUAUCAGGAAGAACACCGGUGGCGAAGGCGUUCUGCUAGGCCAAGACUGACACUGAGGGACGAAAGCUAGGGGAGCG